UAUUAUUGUUGAAAACAUGAACGUUAGAGAUCACUGUUAACAGAUAGAGUUGUUGGAAAUUAUUGUCAUGUGUACUCUACGCUAUGAGACUUAAAUGUUUUAAAAUCAAUGAGGUGAACCCUUCACUAACCGAAGAUAACCACAAUCUGGAGACCAUCUUGCAUGCUCGAUCCAAGGUUCGUCGUUCGGCUCCCAAGAUCUCAGACCUUGACGACAAUAAAAACAUGAGACAUCAUCAUUUGAUCCAUCACCAAUAUAAAUAAAACCGGCUUCACUCAUAAGUUCUCGCUUUGAAAUAAGUAGUGUAUUACUACAUUUAUCAAAAGUCUUGUUACGCGUUUUACAAUCUAAAUAGUCUAAUGUACAAAAAACAUCACAUUCACUAUUAUAAU